CCUACGGGGUGCAGCAGUGGGGAAUAUUGGACAAUGGGCGAAAGCCUGAUCCAGCCAUGCCGCGUGUGUGAAGAAGGCCUUCGGGUUGUAAAGCACUUUCAGUGGGGAAGAAAGCCUUGGGGCUAAUACCCUCGAGGAAGGACAUCACCCACAGAAGAAGCACCGGCUAACUCCGUGCCAGCAGCCGCGGUAAUACGGAGGGUGCGAGCGUUAAUCGGAAUUACUGGGCGUAAAGCGCGCGUAGGCGGUCUGAUAAGCCGGUUGUGAAAGCCCCGGGCUCAACCUGGGAACGGCAUCCGGAACUGUCAGGCUAGAGUGCAGGAGAGGAAGGUAGAAUUCCCGGUGUAGCGGUGAAAUGCGUAGAGAUCGGGAGGAAUACCAGUGGCGAAGGCGGCCUUCUGGACUGACACUGACGCUGAGGUGCGAAAGCGUAGGUAGCAAACAGGAUUAGAUACCCCAUAGUC
rnacentral:rRNA from 1 species